UCGAACGGUAACAGGUCUUCGGAUGCUGACGAGUGGCGAACGGGUGAGUAAUACAUCGGAACGUGCCCGAUCGUGGGGGAUAACGAGGCGAAAGCUUUGCUAAUACCGCAUACGAUCUACGGAUGAAAGCGGGGGAUCUUCGGACCUCGCGCGGACGGAGCGGCCGAUGGCAGAUUAGGUAGUUGGUGGGAUAAAAGCUUACCAAGCCGACGAUCUGUAGCUGGUCUGAGAGGAUGAUCAGCCACACUGGGACUGAGACACGGCCCAGACUCCUACGGGAGGCAGCAGUGGGGAAUUUUGGACAAUGGGCGAAAGCCUGAUCCAGCCAUGCCGCGUGCAGGAUGAAGGCCUUUGGGUUGUAAACUGCUUUUGUACGGAACGAAAAGCCUCUUUCUAAUAAAGAGGGGUCAUGACGGUACCGUAAGAAUAAGCACCGGCUAACUACGUGCCAGCAGCCGCGGUAAUACGUAGGGUGCAAGCGUUAAUCGGAAUUACUGGGCGUAAAGCGUGCGCAGGCGGU
rnacentral:rRNA from 1 species